rnacentral:rRNA from 1 species
GACGAACGCUGGCGGCGUGCUUAACACAUGCAAGUCGAACGGAAAGGCACUGCUUUUGUGGGGUGCUCGAGUGGCGAACGGGUGAGUAACGCGUGAGUAACCUGCCCUUGACUUUGGGAUAACUUCAGGAAACUGGGGCUAAUACCGGAUAGGAGCUCCUGUUGCAUGGAGGGGGUUGGAAAGUUUCGGCGGUUGGGGAUGGACUCGCGGCUUAUCAGCUUGUUGGUGGGGUAGUGGCUUACCAAGGCUUUGACGGGUAGCCGGCCUGAGAGGGUGACCGGCCACAUUGGGACUGAGAUACGGCCCAGACUCCUACGGGAGGCAGCAGUGGGGAAUAUUGCACAAUGGGCGGAAGCCUGAUGCAGCAACGCCGCGUGCGGGAUGACGGCCUUCGGGUUGUAAACCGCUUUCGCCUGUGACGAAGCGUGAGUGACGGUAAUGGGUAAAGAAGCACCGGCUAACUACGUG